UACACAUGCAAGUCGAACGGGCUCUUCGGAGCUAGUGGCGGACGGGUGAGUAACGCGUGAGAAUCUGGCUUCAGGUCGGGGACAACAGCUCGAAAGGGCUGCUAAUACCGGAUAUGCCGAAAGGUGAAAGAUUUAUUGCCUGGAGAUGAGCUCGCGUCAGAUUAGCUUGUUGGUGGGGUAAUGGCCUACCAAGGCGACGAUCUGUAGCUGGUCUGAGAGGAUGAUCAGCCACACUGGGACUGAGACACGGCCCAGACUCCUACGGGAGGCAGCAGUGAGGAAUUUUCCGCAAUGGGCGAAAGCCUGACGGAGUAAUACCGCGUGAGGGACGAAGGUUCUUGGAUUGUAAACCUCUUUUCUCUGGGAAGAUAAUGACGGUACCAGAGGAAUCAGCAUCGGCUAACUCCGUGCCAGCAGCCGCGGUAAUACGGAGGAUGCAAGCGUUAUCCGGAAUUAUUGGGCGUAAAGGGUCCGCAGGUGGUUUAGGAAGUCUACUGUUAAAGCGCGAGGCUCAACUUCGUACAAGCGGUAGAAACUCCUAGACUUGAGGACAGUAGGGGCAGAGGGAAUUCCCAGUGUAGCGGUGAAAUGCAUAGAUAUUGGGAAGAACACCAAUGGCGAAAGCACUCUGCUGGGCUGUUUCUGACACUGAGGGACGAAAGCUAGGGGAGCGAAAGGGAUUAGAUACCCCUGUAGUCCUAGCCGUAAACGAUGGAUACUCGACGUUGCCUUGUUGACCGAGGCAGUGUCCUAGCUAACGCGUUAAGUAUCCCGCCUGGGGAGUACGCACGCAAGUGUGAAACUCAAAGGAAUUGA
rnacentral:rRNA from 1 species